rnacentral:lncRNA from 1 species
UUAAUCUGAUAAACCCAACAAAUUCCUUCUUCAGCGAACUCUUACCAAUUAAAAUGUUCAUAUACACAAUAACGUUGACAAUAAGCAAUCCUCAAACAAACAUAGAACAUAAACCAUUGAUUACUCAGACACCACACCAGCUGAGACGUAAAAUACAAAAUCCAGUCUAUUGGACGCCACACCAUCUGAGAUGUAAAACGUCGAUCACUCAAGCACCACACCAACAUAAAAUAAAAGUUCACUCGCUCAGACUCCACACUGGUCAGAAGAAAACAAGAAGGAACAUCUGCAUCGCCUCAUAAUGACUCAUUUAUAGCCCAUUGAAUUUACAUAUUAUAAAACAAAACAAUAAAAAUUAUCUUAACC